UACAGAGGGGGCAAGCGUUAUUCGGAAUUAUUGGGCGUAAAGGGCGCGUAGGCGGCUUGGCAAGUGGAAGGUGAAAUCCCUCGGCUUAACCGAGGAACUGCCUUCCAGACUGCUUUGCUUGAGGCCGGGAGAGGCGAGUGGAAUUCCCAGUGUAGCGGUGAAAUGCGUAGAUAUUGGGAGGAACACCAGUGGCGAAGGCGGCUCGCUGGACCGGUUCUGACGCUGAGGCGCGAAAGCGUGGGGAGCAAACGGGG
rnacentral:rRNA from 1 species